rnacentral:rRNA from 1 species
AGUAGUCAUACGCUCGUCUCAAAGAUUAAGCCAUGCAUGUGUAAGUAUAAAUAUUUCUACUUUGAAACUGCGAAUGGUUCAUUAUAUCAGUUAUAGUUUAUUAAAAAUAUUUUUCUACUUGGAUAACCGUAGUAAUUCUAGGGCUAAUACUUGACUAAAUCCUCAACUUUUGAAGAGGUGUGUUACUAAUAUGAAAACCAUAUGCUUUUGCUUGAUAGUGAGUAAUAAUAACCUUUCAUAUCGCCUGUUUUUAAUAGCGAUAUUUCUUUCAUGUUUCUGCCCUAUCAUCUUUCGAUGGUAGUGUAUUGGACCACCGUGGCAGUAACGGGUAACGAA